GGGCAAGGAAGACCUGCAAUGAGUUCCCUUCCCGCCCUUCUCUUGCCGAGGCAGGAGCUGGAGGUUAUUGCAAAAGCUGCCGCCCUCAAGCGCUGCCGAAUACGAUUCGGGGGUUUCCCCUCCAUUUGCAGUGCGGGCUCAAGGAAGAAGCUCUUGCCGCCGCCUCCUUCUUUCUCCUCCUCCUUCUCUGCAGCCGCUGGAGAGGAUGUGGCUCACCUGGCGGGGACUGUGGCUGCCCGCGGGGGGGGGGAGGCCUGAGGAGGAGGACCACCACCACCACCACCACCACGGGGGAGGCCUGCUCAGCUCAUCCCCACCCCUCGGCAGCUGCUCAAAUGAUUGGCGCAGCGCAGCGGCCUAUCCUUUUGAAAGCGAGGGAAGGAACUCUGAAUUCUGAGCAGAGCCCAAAGUUGGAGCCGUGGGCAUUUAAAAGGAAUUACUCAUGAACCCUUCGCAGAGGCAGUAUGUGAACAGCUGUGCUUUCUGUCAGCAAGCUAGACCUUCAUUUCCUUCUACAUAGCCUUGGUGGUGCGUAGAGGCGGGAGUGGAGAAGCCGUCCUCUUUUCAAACAGAGAUCCCUGGUAAGAUUAUUGGAUGAGCCCAGCAGGGCCGGCCGGCCGUGUCCUCCUCUUCCUCAAGUCUUGUUGGACCUCUGCCUAGGCGCGAAUGAGUCCAUGCCCAAGUCUCAGGCUGUGCAGACUCAACGGCUUCCCAGCGGUCUCAAAUCAGCCCUUCCGUGCUUGGAGCUUCUCUGGGCCUCUCUCUCUGCAGCUCUCCACCAGACGCCUGCCCGUCAUCUCCCUUGCCUUGGAGCAGAUUAUGCAGGUGCGGAGAGGGGAUGUUUUCUGAGGCGCAUCCUCCUCCAUCCAAAGGUCCGGGGCCCUCUCCAUCUUUUCACGGUUGGGGUCUUGUGGCAGGUAGGAGACUCUAAGGGAGGGCUGGGUUCCCCUGGCGACACGGCCUCAUUUCAGGGACCCCACACACUCUCCCCCUAUGCAGUGGCUUUGGCUUUCCCUCUGGCCCUUGGCUGUGGUCCUCCAGCAGGGACAUGCCACGCCCUGGCCACGGCACCCUCUUCCUGGCACCCGUGAUGUGCACGCCUUCUCCCUCGCCUCUGCUUCUCUCCCUCUCCCUAAAGAGAAACAAACACACCCUUCAGCCUGCAGACCACGCCGCCCUCCCCUCCCCAGUCCCCCCCCAACACAUACAAAGGCACCAACACACACACACGUGUCUCUCUCCUCUCUUUCAUACGCCUCGCUACCAAAUGGCGCGGCAACUCAAGCAUGUUUCAGUCGCAUUCGGCAAGACUGCCUGCAAAAUGCCAUCCGCGCACCUUCAACACCGCGUUAGACAGAUCUGCAGUGGGAGGGGGUGACUGCAAAUCAUGUGGCCGGAGGGCCCCCCAGCAGGUCUAAGGGUGUUCCGGAGUCCUUCAUGGAGGAGCAAGGGAGGCAGGCAUAACCAAGGUUUGGGUGUGACUCAAAGCCUUGCCUCAAGCAUUGGAAGCACUCUUUGAGCCAGACAAAAGGUAUCGUCUCCUUUGCUCGGCGCUUCUUGUUGCAGCAGGAGGAAGGCUAGAGGAAGGGCACUGAGGAGUCCCCCCCCCCGUCUCCUGCCACUGGAGUCCGAGGCCGAGCCGCUUCCUUGGUCUCCGGAGGAUGCCUGCCUGCCUGCCUGCCGCGGCCUUGCUUCCGAAUGAACCCUGGAAAGGGCGGCGGCAGAAUCGGGCCUUUGCCUGGCGGGGAUUCAUUGCCCCCGCACCCACCAGCAGACCCCGCAGAGUGCAGCUCUGGCAGCCACUGCCACCACCCAAGCCUUUCGUUUGGCCCUGGUGGCAGCACUGCCCCCCCCCGCGUCCCUGCCCAUGGGAGAGAGAGGGGGACCCCAGAGGAGCCCCCUCCUCGGCCCGCGGGUGGCGGCACCCAGCCCGACGGCGGGGCUCCUCCUCCUCCUCCUCCUCCUCCCGCCUGAGAGGAGGCUGGCUGGGCGCCCAACGGCUGCUGCAGGGAGGG